AAGUCGUAACAAGGUUUCCGUAGGUGAACCUGCGGAAGGAUCAUUACCAAAUGUGACACUCUGUGUUGCUCUUACACUUCCGAGCAGGCCUGGCGCGGUUCCGCGCCAGGUCAGGAUGGUGGUCCGCGGACUACCGUCAGCGCCGUCCCCUACUCUUCGGAGCGGGAGCUCAGUCCCUCGCGGACGAAAGGACGGACCCGGUGCUUUCGCAUCAACCCUGUGCUUGAAAAGGAACAACAACAGCAGUACAACUGCAAACGGUGGAUCACUCGGCUC
rnacentral:misc_RNA from 1 species